rnacentral:rRNA from 1 species
CCUACGGGAGGCAGCAGUGAGGAAUUUUCCGCAAUGGGCGAAAGCCUGACGGAGCAAUACCGCGUGAGGGACGAAGGAUUUUGGUCUGUAAACCUCUUUUCUCAAGAAAGAAGUUCUGACGGUACUUGAGGAAUAAGCAUCGGCUAACUCCGUGCCAGCAGCCGCGGUAAUACGGGGGAUGCAAGCGUUAUCCGGAAUCAUUGGGCGUAAAGCGCCUGUAGGUUGUUUACUAAGUCUGUUGUUAAAGACUAGGGCUUAACCCUAGAGAAGCAAUGGAAACUUGUAGUAGAGUAUGGCAGGGGUAGAGGGAAUUUCUAGUGUAGCGGUGAAAUGCGUAGAUAUUAGAAAGAACACCGGUGGCGAAAGCGCUCUACUGGACCAUUACUGACACUCAGAGGCGAAAGCUAGGGUAGCAAAAGGGAUUAGAUACCCCUGUAGUCCUAGCCGUAAACGAUGGAUACUAGAUGUUGUGCAUAGUACAGUAUCGUAGCUAACGCGUUAAGUAUCCCGCCUGGGGAGUACGCUCGCAAGGGUGAAACUCAAAGGAAUUGACGG